UGGAGACGUCGUUCUGUUUCUUUCUGAAAUUCCCUUCUGCUGCAGUUGAUGCCACUCGACCUCUGAACAGAAGAAUGGCCGCUCCUCGCAAGCAUAUCUUUAUUCAGCUUGUGGUAAGUUACGGAACUCUCACCUGUUACGCAUCUUGAGGCCUACCGACAACAUUAUUGUCUGCAUCUUGAGUUUGUUUGGUGUGUUAACUAAGAGAUGCGUAUAUGGCACGCCAAUCGUACCGGAGCGAUUCAUCGGAAGUAUGGUUCACGCCCGAGGUGAGUAACUCUUCUCUUCUGAUUCACAGGCAGGCACGCAAGUUGAAGCACGCUUCCGUGCUUCAUGGAAACUCUCCAAGCACUAACGCGAUGGGUGUUCCUUGCGAGAAGCGCUUAAGCAUGCAGUAAGAGAAGACAACUCGUGUUCACCGGCAUCGAGCAGUAUGUUUGUGAUUUGUGUUACGAGGCGUGGUGGCUCCAGCUGGUACAUCCGGCAUUAACGCAGUCAUCGGCCACUGGAUAGAUGGGUUUUACCGAAAAAUGGCGGAUUAUGUUCUCCUUUUACUCGUUUCGUCUACAUUCAGUCGGGCAUGGCAAUCGCAGGAGUAGUCGUCUGUCGCCGUUUGGCGCCAGAGAAGCAUUUUUUUCCCAAGCACGGCCUCUCCCUAGGGGCUAAUAUCAAGGCCGAAAAUAUAGCCUAAGCAAUGACUACGCAUUUCACUCUGGCCUGAUUUUUCUCUUUGUUGUCAUGGGUAACAGCUUCUGCGUGCUGGUCACGCGUAUUACCCGUCUCUUUCACGUUGACGAAGUCGGACAAGCGCCGACGCAUCGUCAGACACGAUAGCGAGCAUACAACUCAGACAAUAAGGCACCUGAAGCGAACCGUUGAGUACAUCGCGCGAACGUAAGACAGACAGUAGAAGUAUCUUUUCUGACUGGUGACGAUAGAGGCAAAACAAUUGGCUGUGUUCUACACUUGUAAGCCACAGUUCUGGGAACCACCCUUGAGAGUAGCGUCGCUAGUGCCCGGGGGCUUCUUGAACCCUGGCGAUCCGUCAGCAGCUGCGGCGGUA
rnacentral:lncRNA from 1 species